CUCGAUCGAGAAUGUUUUUGACGUUGAAACCAAUUGGAAAAAAAUAGCUCAAGUCGUACAGAGACUAACGACUACCAAAUAAAAAGUGAUCGGAAAACGAUAGAUACAAGCCGAACCGUGUAAAUGCCAUUCUUAUUCGUUGUUAUUACUAUCAUAUUCGCGAGCACGCCGAGCGAAUCUUGACGCGCGCGAGGGGAUGCGACGCGACGAUAUGCGACGGAUGUCUAGACUUUGAUGCGCGUCUCUAUGAAAUUAGCUGGAGAUUGGGAGGCCGAGAGCAAUUUUGGCUAGAGUGGAAUUGUCUGCCGGCAGAGGCGAAGUCCUUUGGAAUCUGGAACUAUCCAGGAUCAGCGGUAAAUGCAACGGGGAUGCUGGGUCGAAGUCCUCGAAGUGGCGAAAGGACGACAACGAGACGACGUCGUUAGUAGGGCGGGCUCUAGCUAAGCUACAAACGCAAAGCUAUCCAGACACCGGAAAUGGACGGCGCGGUACCGCCGGCUGAUGCGCACGUACCCGUAACAGCCGUGCAUUCGGUGUGCUCUUCCACCGGCGUUGGAAAUCGGAAUGAACGGUGUAUCCUUAAGAAAAUCGUAAAAUUAAAUGCAAACAGGGAUGGGGAGAGGACCACGAUAAAAAGGUUCGCCGCGUAGUUUAUCAAUUCGUGGAUUACUUCGGGAAACGAUUCGUUCGCCUUUUAUAUGCGCCGAUCACUCUAUUCAAGUAGGAAACAC